rnacentral:misc_RNA from 1 species
UCUCCGUAGGUGAACCUGCGGAGGGAUCAUUACAGAGUUCAUGCCCUACCGGGUAGAUCUCCCACCCUAUGUUAUUAUUACUUUGUUGCUUUGGCGGGCCGUUAGGCUCCGGCCCGACUACCGGCCCCGGCUGGUAAGCGCCCGCCAGAGGACCCAAAACCCUGAAUAUUAGUGUCGUCUGAGUACUAUAUAAUAGUUAAAACUUUCAACAACGGAUCUCAUGGUUCUG